GUUCAGGUAGCUCAGUGG
rnacentral:tRNA from 1 species